rnacentral:rRNA from 1 species
AUUGAACGCUGGGGGCAUGCCUUACACAUGCAAGUCGAACGGUAACGCGGGGCAACCUGGCGACGAGUGGCGAACGGGUGAGUAAUGUAUCGGAACGUGCCCAGUUGUGGGGGAUAACUGCUCGAAAGAGCAGCUAAUACCGCAUACGACCUGAGGGUGAAAGCGGGGGAUCGCAAGACCUCGCGCAGUUGGAGCGGCCGAUAUCAGAUUAGGUAGUUGGUGGGGUAAAGGCCCACCAAGCCAACGAUCUGUAGCUGGUCUGAGAGGACGACCAGCCACACUGGGACUGAGACACGGCCCAGACUUCUACGGGAGGCAGCAGUGGGGAAUUUUGGACAAUGGACGCAAGUCUGAUCCAGCCAUGCCGCGUGCGGGAAGAAGGCCUUCGGGUUGUAAACCGCUUUUGUCAGGGAAGAAACGCUCUGGGUUAAUACCUCGGGGUAAUGACGGUACCUGAAGAAUAAGCACCGGCUAACUACGUGCCAGCCGCCGCGGUAAAAC